rnacentral:rRNA from 1 species
AUUCGAACCAACGCGAAGAACCUUACCUCGGUUUGACUUGUACGCGAGCACUGCAGAGAUGUGGUUUCCCUUGUGGCCGGUAGACAGGUGGUGCAUGGCUGUCGUCAGCUCGACACGAGAGAUGUUGGGUUAAGUCCCGCAACGAGCGCAACCCUUGUCCUGUGUUGCCAGCACGUGAUGGUCCCGACACCCACGAGACUGCCGGGGUCAACUCGGACCUUCCAGGGGACGACGUCAAGUCAUCAUGCCGCUUAUGUCCAGGGCUUCACACAUGCUACAAUGGUCGGUACAGAGGGCUGCGAUACCGUGAGGUGGAGCGAAUCCCUUAAAGCCGGUCUCAGUUCGGAUCGGGGUCUGCAACUCGACCCCGUGAAGUCGGAGUCGCUACUAAUCGCAGAUCAGCAACGCUGCGGUGAAUACGUUCCCGGGCCUUGUACACACCGCCCGUCACGUCAUGAAAGUCGGUAUCACCCGAAGCCGGUGGCCUAACCCCUGCUCG